GUUUACUGAAGACCGCAGCCAAAUCUUUCUCCGUCAAUAAUCACCUCCUUCGUCACCGUUUUGAAGCUCUCUUUGCUUAUUAAAGCGGCAAAGCUAACUACUUCACACACUCAUACAAAGCUCAAUUUUUUUUUUAACCUCUAUCUCUCUGUGCAAGUAAGAGAUCUCUGGACCUUCCAUUGAAAGUAAGGAAUUUUCGUAGCAACACACAAUCUAUAGGGUCCUCAAGUUUCCAAGGGAAGCCUUCAUUUUUAGCUCUUGUGAUUGCAAAAAUAUUAUUGUUCAAGUAAUUACAUUGAGCUUCAUUUCCUCAGUGAUGGGAUUGAAUGGAUACUUGAUGUUUUUCACUUGUGCUUAAAAUUUAUUUAUUUUUCUUCUCCCUGAUGUUCUAUUUCUUGCUAAUCUCAAAGUUACAAGUGUUUAAGGCUUAUGUGGUUAGUAAAGCCUUCAGUAUUAUGGUUCUUUUGAUGGUUUAGUUAAACUUCAGUUAUAACAUUUCAAUUAUGUGCUUGAUCUUUUUCCUUUAGAUUAUCUUUGUUUUUCAGAUUUAAGGCGUUUGCUAUAUGGGAUAAUGAGUAUGUUCUGUUUUUGUCAGUAGUUGUGAGUUGUUUGGUUGUUUUUUUUUGCGAUUGCUAAUGUAAAUGUGGACAUAAGGGGAGAACUUGAUUUGAUCAUAGUUUUUCUAUCUGGGAGAAUUGAAGAGACCCAUUUGAAUACAAUCCCAAAAAUGACUAGGCGAAGCUUACAUUUUAGCAAGUUAUAUUCGUUUUCGUGUUGUAAACCUUCAUUUAAAGAAGACCAUGCUCAAAUUGGGCAAAAAGGAUACUCUAGGGUGGUGUAUUGCAAUGACCCUGAUAAUCCAGAGGCAAUUCAGCUAAAUUAUAGGGGGAAUUAUGUAUCAACUACCAAAUAUACAGCGGCUAACUUUAUACCAAAGUCUUUGUUUGAGCAGUUUAGGAGGGUUGCAAAUAUAUAUUUUCUUGUUGUAGCUUGUGUUUCAUUUAGUCCAUUGGCCCCCUAUACAGCACUCAGCGUUCUUGCACCUUUGAUAGUAGUGAUUGGAGCUACUAUGGCUAAAGAAGGUGUUGAAGAUUGGAGGCGGAGAAAACAGGAUAUAGAGGCUAAUAAUAGAAAGGUCAGGGUGUAUGGCAAAAAUUAUACUUUUAAUGAGAGCAAAUGGAAGAAUCUCCGAGUUGGGGACCUUGUUAAGGUGUCCAAGGAUGAAUAUUUUCCUGCUGACCUGCUUCUGCUUUCUUCGAGCUAUGAGGAUGGAAUUUGUUAUGUUGAGACCAUGAAUCUUGAUGGAGAGACUAAUUUAAAGUUGAAGCAUGCCUUGGAGGUGACGUCCUCUCUGCGUGAUGAAGAAUCCUUCAAAAAUUUUGUGGCUGUGGUCAGGUGUGAGGACCCAAAUGAAAAUCUAUAUAGCUUUGUUGGAACAUUGCAUUAUAAUGGAAACCAGUACCCACAUUAUAAUGGAAGCCAGUACCCACUUUUGCCCCAGCAAGUUCUUUUGAGAGAUUCUAAGCUCAAAAACACUGAAUACAUCUAUGGUGUAGUUAUUUUCACUGGGCAUGACACAAAAGUGAUGCAAAAUGCUGUGGAUCCUCCUUCUAAGAGGAGUAAGAUUGAGAGAAAAAUGGACAAGAUAGUAUAUAUCCUUUUCAGCAUGUUGAUUUCAAUAUCAUUUAUUGGUUCUGUAUUUUUCGGAAUUGAAACUAAAAGAGAUAUUAGUGGUGGAAAGUAUAGAAGGUGGUAUCUUCGACCAGAUGCUACAACUGUGUUUUAUGACUCUCGAAGAGCAUCACUUGCUGCAUUUUUCCAUUUCCUGACUGGACUUAUGUUGUAUGGAUAUUUGAUACCAAUAUCCUUAUAUGUGUCCAUUGAAAUUGUCAAGGUCUUACAGUGCCUUUUCAUUAACCAAGAUCAAGAAAUGUACUAUGAGGAAACUGACAGGCCAUCGCAUGCACGAACGUCUAAUUUAAAUGAGGAACUUGGGCAGGUUGAUACUAUAUUAUCUGACAAAACAGGUACUUUGACAUGUAACUCGAUGGAGUUUGUCAAAUGUUCAAUAGCAGGGAUUGCUUAUGGUCGUGGUAUGACAGAAGUGGAAAGAGCUUUGGCAGGGAGAAGAAGUGAUGGACCACUGGAAAAUGACGGUAAUUUAUCUGAUCAACCAGAUGAUGAUGGUGAUACAUUUUACUCAAGAAAGCCAAUCAAGGGGUUCAACUUCAGAGAUAAACGUAUAAUGAAUGGUCAUUGGGUUAAUGAGCCUCACUCAGAUGUCAUACAAAAGUUCUUUCGAGUGUUAGCCCUUUGCAAUACUGCAGUUCCUGAAAAAGACAAAGAAUCAGGUGAAAUUUUCUAUGAAGCUGAGUCACCAGAUGAAGCAGCCUUUGUCAUAGCUGCAAGGGAGGUUGGCUUUGAGUUGUUUGAAAGGAAACAAACAAGAAUCUCAUUGCAUGAGCUAGACCCUGAGACUGCUAAAAUAUUUGAUAGAACAUACGAGCUUCUUCAAGUUCUGGAAUUCAGUAGUUCUCGCAAAAGAAUGUCUGUGAUUGUAAGAAGUGAAGAGAAUGACUUGUUGCUUCUUUCUAAGGGUGCAGACAGUGUAAUGCUUGAAAGGCUUUCAGAAGGUGGGCGAUUGUUUGAGGCAAAGACCAAGGACCAUGUCAAAAGAUAUGCAGAGGCAGGUUUACGAACCUUGGUAGUUGCAUACCGUGAGAUUGGUGAAGAUGAGUACACGAUUUGGGAAAAAGAAUUUUCAAAAGCCAAAGCAACAGUAACAGCUGACCGAGAUGUAUUGGUGGAUGAAAUUGCUGAUAAAAUUGAAAAGGAUUUGGUUCUUCUUGGUGCCACAGCUGUUGAGGACAAACUGCAGAAGAAGGUAGGCAUCAAACUUGAAAAAAUCUGAUUACAUAGGUGGAAAAUGGAGGAACUCUUGCUCUUAGUAGUUCUAAAUUUAUGAUUCAUGGUAGUCCAACCAACCUCUUGACAAUCUUUUCACUAGUGUCAUCUUUUUAUAUGUUCUGGGAUGUCUCGUCAAUAUAAAACUGGAUGCUAAUCCCCUUGAUAAUCAAAAUCAGAACCAGCCCAUUUCAGUAUAUUGGAGUUGAAUUUGCCUAUUUAUACUUCUGCUUGUUUAUAAGAAUUGAUAUGUUCUCUCAUGUUUAGGUCCCUGAGUGCAUUGAAAAGCUUGCACAUGCUGGAAUUAAAAUAUGGGUCUUAACUGGCGACAAGAUGGAAACAGCAAUAAAUAUAGGGUAUGGUACAAAGUAUUAGGCCGAAUUAUUAUCCUGAAGGUUUCACAUUAUAACUAACAUAAUUUCUACAGGUAUGCGUGUAGUCUUCUGAGACAGGAAAUGAAGCAGAUUAUUAUCACUCUUGACACCCCAGAAAUUGAAGCUUUAGAAAAACAAGGGGAUAAGGAUGCCGUUUCUAAGGUAUCUAAUUUCAAUGCUGGUGGUUGAAUAUCUUUUUAAUGUUGUGAAAUCUCUGAAAUCUUUGAUUAUUCUAGGCUUCUCUUGUAAGUGUGACGGAACAAAUAAGAGACGGAAAAUCUCAACUUAAUUCUGCUAAAGAAAGCUCACUUACAUUUGGUUUAGUGAUUGAUGGAAAGUCUUUAGCUUUCGCGCUGGACAAGAGUCUGGAGAAGAAGUUUUUGGAGCUUGCACUUGGCUGUGCUUCUGUUAUAUGCUGUCGUUCUACACCAAAACAUAAAGCCCU
rnacentral:misc_RNA from 1 species